rnacentral:ribozyme from 1 species
UUUUUUUUUUUUUUUUUUUUUUUUUUUGCGCGUCUGCGCCACUGUUGUGAGCGGCAGUGAAAGUCAGCUUAG